AACGAACGCUGGCGGCAUGCCUAACACAUGCAAGUCGAACGAGACCUUCGGGUCUAGUGGCGCACGGGUGCGUAACGCGUGGGAACCUGCCCUUAGGUUCGGAAUAACUCCCCGAAAGGGGUGCUAAUACCGGUUAAUGUCUUCGGACCAAAGAUUUAUCGCCUUUGGAUGGGCCCGCGUUGGAUUAGCUAGUUGGUAGGGUAAAAGCAUAACAAGGCGACGAUACAUAGCUGGUCUGAGAGGAUGAUCAGCCACACUGGGACUGAGACACGGCCGAGACUACUACGGGAGGCAGCAGUGGGGAAUAUUGGAAAAUGGGCGAAAGCCUGAUCAAGCAAUGACGCGUGAGUGAUGAAGGCAUUAGGGUUGUAAAGCUCUUUUACACGGGAAGAUAAUGACAGUAACGGGAGAAUAAGCUCCGGCUAACUACGUG
rnacentral:rRNA from 1 species